UUUGGCCUACGGGGCGCAGCAGUGGGGAAUAUUGGGCAAUGGGCGCAAGCCUGACCCAGCGACGCCGCGUGAGGGAAGACGGUGUUCGGAUUGUAAACCUCUUUCAGCAGGGAAGACAAAAGGACGGUACCUGCAGAAGAAGCCACGGCUAACUACGUGCCAGCAGCCGCGGUAAUACGUAGGUGGCAAGCGUUAUCCGGAAUUACUGGGUGUAAAGGGUGUGUAGGCGGGGUUGCAAGGC
rnacentral:rRNA from 1 species